rnacentral:rRNA from 1 species
UCAAUUAUUUUAGCCUCUGGCUAUAGGAAAUUGUUAGUGGCAGACGGGUGAGUAAUGCGUAGGAAUCUACCUAGUAGUACGGAAUAGCCAUUAGAAAUGGUGGGUAAUACUGUAUAAUCCCCGAGGGGGAAAGAUUUAUCGCUAUUAGAUGAGCCUACGUUAGAUUAGCUAGUUGGUGAGGUAAUGGCUUACCAAGGCUAUGAUCUAUAGCUGGUCUGAGAGGACGAUCAGCCACACUGGAACUGAGAUACGGUCCAGACUCCUACGGGAGGCAGCAGUGGGGAAUAUUGGACAAUGGGCGAAAGCCUGAUCCAGCUAUGCCGCGUGAGUGAAGAAGGCCUUCGGGUUGUAAAACUCUUUCAAUAGGGAAGAUAAUGACGGUACCUAUAA